AGUUCAAAUUCCGCCGAGGUCGACUUUGCCUUUCAUCCUUUCGGGAUCAAAAUUACUUUGACCCUUUAGUGUUUAAACCGACCGUAUCAGGCCCAGAAAUUCCACAUGUUUUAUAUUCAAACUGGCAAUAUCUAGCCUCUCACACCUACCCUACAAUGUCAUUCUAAAAAUAAACAAUAAC